ensembl:rRNA 5S_rRNA 5S ribosomal RNA
GUGCACAGCUGUGCCACCCUGGACGCGCCCGAUCUCGUCUGACCUCAAAAACCAAGCUGGGUUGGGCCCGAUAGUCCAUGGAUUUUGUAUUUC